rnacentral:rRNA from 1 species
UACGUAGGUGGCAAGCGUUAUCCGGAUUUAUUGGGCGUAAAGGGAACGCAGGCGGUCUUUUAAGUCUGAUGUGAAAGCCUUCGGCUUAACCGGAGUAGUGCAUUGGGAACUGGGAGACUUGAGUGCAGAAGAGGAGAGUGGAACUCCAUGUGUAGCGGUGAAAUGCGUAGAUAUAUGGAAGAACACCAGUGGCGAAAGCGGCUCUCUGGUCUGUAACUGACGCUGAGGUUCGAAAGCGUGGGUAUCGAACAGG